rnacentral:rRNA from 1 species
GACGAACGCUGGCGGCGUGCCUAAUACAUGCAAGUCGAGCGGACUUGAUGAAGUGCUUGCACUUCUGAUGGUUAGCGGCGGACGGGUGAGUAACACGUAGGUAACCUGCCUAUAAGACUGGGAUAACAUUCGGAAACGAAUGCUAAUACCGGAUACGCGAAUUGGUCGCAUGGCCGAAUCGGGAAAGACGGAGCAAUCUGUCACUUAUAGAUGGACCUGCGGCGCAUUAGCUAGUUGGUGAGGUAACGGCUCACCAAGGCGACGAUGCGUAGCCGACCUGAGAGGGUGGUCGGCCACACUGGGACUGAGACACGGCCCAGACUCCCACGGGAGGCAGCAGUAGGGAAUCUUCCGCAAUGGACGUAAGUCUGACGGAGCAACGCCGCGUGAGUGAUGAAGGUUUUCGGAUCGUAAAGCUCUGUUGCCAGGGAAGAACGCUUGGGAGAGUAACUGCUCUCAAGGUGACGGUACCUGAGAAGAAAGCCCCGGCUAACUACGUGCCAGCCGCCGCCGUAA